GCAAGUCUGGUGCCAGCAGCCGCGGUAAUUCCAGCUCCAAUAGCGUAUAUUAAAGUUGUUGCAGUUAAAAAGCUCGUAGUUGAAACUUGGGCCUGGCUGGCGGGUCCGCCUCACCGCGUGCACUCGUCCGGCCGGGCCUCUCCUUCUGAAGAACCUCAUGCCCUUCACUGGGCGUGCUGGGAAUCAGGACUUUUACUUUGAAAAAAUUAGAGUGUUCAAAGCAGGCCUUGCUCGAAUACGUUAGCAUGGAAUAAUAGAAUAGGGCGUGCGUUUCUAUUUUGUUGGUUUCUAGGACCGCCGCAAUGAUUAACAGGAACGUCGGGGGCAUCAGUAUUCAGUUGUCAGAGGUGAAAUUCUUGGAUUUACUUGAAGACUAACUACUGCGAAAGCAUUUGCCAAGGAUGUUUUCAUUAAUCAGUGAACGAAAGUUAGGGGAUCGAAGACGAUCAGAUACCGUCGUAGUCUUAACCGUAAACUAUGCCGACUAGGGAUCGGGCGAUGUUCUUUUUCUGACACGCUCGGCACCUUACGAGAAAUCAAAGUUUUUGGGUUCUGGGGGGAGUAUGGUCGCAAGG
rnacentral:rRNA from 1 species